GCAAGUCGAACGAGAUCUUCGGAUCUAGUGGCGAACGGGUGAGGAACACGUAAGAAACCUGCCCCAAAGACGAGGAUAACUAUUGGAAACGAUAGCUAAUACUGGAUAGGAUAUAAGGCCGCAUGGUCUAAUAUUUAAAGGAGCUUUCAAGCUCCGCUUAGGGAUGGUCUUGCGCAGCAUUAGCUAGUUGGUAGGGUAACGGCCUACCAAGGCGACGAUCCGUAGCUGGUCUGAGAGGAUGAUC
rnacentral:rRNA from 1 species